CUAUUUGGUUUUUUAUUUACAAUGAUUUACCCAGCAUCUAUUAUAAGUCAGGUACUAUGUCUGUCUGAGGGAUUAAAAAGUCAAAUACAGCAGGGUGGCUGCCCUUAGGGAUUUCACAGCUUAAAGGGGGAUAUAUCCGUGUCAGUAUCUGAUGAUGACACAGCAUGACAAAUACCCAAAUGCUACGGGAAUCCAGAGGACAAACCCUCAGUCCUUCCUGGAAGAGGUGACAACUGAGUUGAUUCUCGGUGGACAAAUAAGAGCUGGGGGUGGGGCCCAGCCCAACAGAAAGAACAGCAUGUCCAAGGGCUCUUCUGGAGAGCAGGGAACAUUCUUGGAACACCAGGAGUUCAACAUGACUCUGGAAAGGAGCAUGAGUUCGGGCGGGGCCGAGAUGCAGCCAGAGAGGGACGCAGAAAUGGAUGAUGCCUGUAUCUGCCCUGGCUACCUGCACCUGAUUUUGAAGCCUGUAAGGACAUAUGUGAUGCAAUGGAACCCAUUUGCUGUUCCCUCGGGACCCCCUUAUACCUGGAUUCUGGAUGCUGUGGAAAUUCAGGAGCUCUUCUGUACAGAACCACCCUAAAACAUAGAGACUUGCAACAAAAUGAUUCAUUACUUCUCUCCACCUGUGGAUUGACCAGGCUGUCCUUCCAGACCAUCGCAGAGUUGAAAGAAGUCAUCCUAUUUUUAAAGACCUCCAAAGGAGAUUCCACUGUCUUCCUUCACAUCCUGUCCUCUCAAGGCUGUCAAGUUCUCUCUGAGCGCUAACUAAAUUUAAGUGCAGAAGCUAUGGCCACCCAGCCGUGGGAGCCAGAGGAAACGUCCACCAGCUCCGGCAUAAUCUUCUUCAAGUGGAGUUCCUGCCUUGGCACAGUGGGUUGAGAACACAUUGUUGUCUCUGCUGAGGCACGGGUUUGAUCCCUGGCCCAGGAACUUCCAUAGGCCAAGGGUGAGGCCAAAA